rnacentral:rRNA from 1 species
AGCGAACGCUGGCGGCAGGCCUAACACAUGCAAGUCGAACGAACUCUUCGGAGUUAGUGGCGGACGGGUGAGUAACACGUGGGAACGUGCCUUUAGGUUCGGAAUAACUCAGGGAAACUUGUGCUAAUACCGAAUGUGCCCUUCGGGGAAAGGAUUUAUCGCCUUUAGAGCGGCCCGCGUCUGAUUAGCUAGUUGGUGGG